GGAGACGAUAGGGGGGAGAGAUAAUGGGGGGUGGGAGGGGGUGGAGACAGAGGGACAGUUGUGGGGGGUAGAUCGAGAAAAAAGAACGGAACAGUUGAAGAAGGUCAGAAACAAAGCAAACAGACCAUUACCUUAACAUCCCUGUUGAUUUGAACCAUGUGAUGAACAGCAUUCCACACAUCUACACAACUGGCCCGGACAAUACGGGACAAGGUUUACGAGUUAGCGAGCUCGGCCCUUGAUGUCGCCUGGAGAUAACUGGCAGCGUGACAGCCAGUAACCUUACAGCCGGGAUCAUUUCUAUGGGAAUGUAUCCUUUGGUGCGUUGCAGUAGGAUGAAGCCUGAGCUGGAAUGUGACGGUAACUGAAGCUAGCUUGAGUAAAAAGCAACGUUCUGUGUCUGCUGCACUGAGCUUUGUGUUCUCGGUGCCUUUCAGAUUAACUGAACACUAACGAGAAUGGAGGCUGGCAUACACACAGAUAAGACCAGGGGCAGAGGAGGAUAGAGAGAGACAGGCA